UGUACUCAUAUACAUUAAAUAAAUAAAUAAAUAAAUAAAUAAAUAAAUAAAUAAAUAAAUAAUAAAAUACUUUAUAUAAAAAUAAUUGGUGGAUUGAAACACCAUCUGAAUUCUAACUGUGCAGCUAUUUAAGUGAUCAGCCAUACUGUUUGCCACAAGUCCUGGGGCAGGCAUGUGGACCUUUCUUAGAGUGCAGUUUGUUAUCUGUUAAAUUGGGAAAUUGGCUUGGAUAAUUACUAAGGCCCCUCCAAGUUCUGUAGAUAUAAGAUACUCUUGAACAGCGGUUGGCAGUAUUCCUUCUCAAACAUCAGGCUGUGAAACCUGAACUAAGUAUUUUCUGGUCUAACCCCAUUCCUUCCAUUCUUUCAUAAAUAGUACUAUAGACUAUUUACAUAUGUGUUCUGUAAGGUCAUCUAGGAGGAAAGACAGACUGGCAACAUGUGACUUGACUCAAUGACAAUACAGGAUUUUAUUUGAGAGAAAUCCCCACAGAGGGGUCUCUGGUUUAAGAAUCAGAAUCUAUUAUCUGUUUAGGAGCUGGAGUAGGAAAAAGUUAUGGGGUAGGAAAAGAGAGAGGAUCAGAGAUUGGGAGUUCCUUUUUUUUUCUGGCUCAAGAUUUACUGUUGCUGAGAGUAAAUAGGGAAUGGUGAGUUAGAGAAUGACAGGUAGUAGAUAAACAUCUCUUGGGGCCAGCUUUACUGGGACCAGAAUGUGGAGAGGACAAGAAUGUACUAAUGUAAUACAGGCUACUUCAGUUUUAGAAAACAAAUUACUUUGGUUUUGGAAAUUGUUAUUGUUUAAUCAUUAUGGAGAAUCCUUACAAAAUUGCAUGAUUAUGGCUAAUACCCUUGCUAUAGUAUUGGAUCCUUAGGAACUUCCAGUGGUAUUUGUGUGCUUUGAAACAUCUGCUUGUAAUCUCAUUAACUGUGAAGGAGAUGGGACACACAUUGUUUUUAGUUCCAUCUUACAAGUGAAAGAAUUAGACUCAAAAGGUUUGAAUGUGUGCCCCACAGCAGGUCUUGGAAUCUGAGUUUCUAGAGGGGAGUGUGUGUGGCCUGAUAGAGGUGUGGUCUGAUGGAAGUGUGGUCUGAUGGAGGUGUGGUCUGAUGGAGGUGUGGUCUGUUGAAGGUGUGGUCUGUUGAAGGUAUGGUUUGAUGGAGGUGUGGUCUGAUGGAGGUGUGAUCUGAUGCAGGUGUGGUCUGAUGGAGGUGUGGUCUGUUGAAGGUGUGGUCUGUUGAAGGUAUGGUCUGAUGGAGGUGUGAUCUGAUGGAGGUGUGGUCUGAUGGAGGUGUGGUCUGAUGGAGGUGUUCAGGUCAUAAUGUAUUCAUUGUCAUGAAUACAUUAAUUUGAUGUACAAGGGCAUGAGACUGUCAGUUUGAUCACUUCCUUUUUUCCCCCCAUUGUGUCAUGAGAUAACUAAAGAAGAAAGUCUUCACCAGACCUGAAUCCUGGUCUUCUAAGACUCCAGAAGUGCACUCUUGGAAAGAUUCACACUUCAUGAGCAUCUGCAGACAAUGAAUGAACUUCAUAGACCAGAUGUAAGAUUUGAUUAUGCCCUAUCCAUCACAGUUCUACUUAGUUUCUGUCGUACAAACUAAAGUAACCUAGGAAGAGGUAAGUUCUUCCAUCAGAUUGGCCUGUAGGAAGGUCUCUGGUGUCAUUUUCUUGAUUAAACAUUGAUGUGGGAAUGUUCAACCCACUGUGGUUGGUACCCCACCUCCGCCCCUUACAGAUGGUGCUGGAUGGUAUAAGAAAACAAGUUGAGUAAGCCUUGGAAAGCAAGUCAGUCAGCAGCAUUUCCCCAGUCUGUGUUUCGGUUUCUGCCUCUGGGUCCUUGUUUUUACUUCCUGCCUUAGUUUUCCCUGACGAUGGACAAGGGUGGUGAAGAGUUUGGAAAUGCCCCUGUACCUAGCUUCCAUCUUGACAACAGUCACAAUUAUAUAAGGCUGACCAGAGUGACUGUUGAUAGAACAACCUAUUCUGCUAACACUUUACUACCAUCCUCUUGCUAAUCCUUGAAUAAGCUAGGUCAUCCACUGGGAAAAAUUUUUUUAUUGAGUCUUUGUGAGUUUCUCAUCAUGCACCCCAGUCCCACUCACCUCUGUGUCUGCUCAGACCCACCCUUUACCUUUACAAUCCCCAAAAUAAAACAAACGAACAAACAAACAAACAAAGCAUAGGAAACAUCUCAUCACAGAAGCUGCAGUGUGCCACAGUGUGUUCCACAGUAUGUGCCUCUGUCCAUAUGUCUUCACUUGCAAAUGCUCAUGGCAAUGACUCGUUGGUCUGGUUUUAGAUCUCUGGCAUCUGUGACACCAUCCAUAUUGGAUCCUCAUCAGAUCUUCACCCUAUUAUCUUGUUGUGGCCCUGUGUCAUGAAGAUCCUACAGCUUUAAAUCAGCAGGACUGGCCCUUUCCUGUGUCCUAAUCAUUCACAGAUGAUAUAGCUUUUGGGGUGGGCCAACUCAGAACUCUGGAUCUUGGAACUGAGCUGGUCAGCCCACGGGCUCUUCUUUAUGUGCACCACCAGGGCAAGAAAAACAAGAAGAGAUAACACCCCCAAAGAAUAAGCAAAAAAAAAAUUAAAUUCAGGGAUGAAAUCAAUUAAUUAGAAACAACAACUAAAAAAUUUACAAAGACUCAAUGAAAUGAACAGUUGGUUCUUUGAGAAAGUCAAAAUUAACAAACUUUUAGGCAAAUUGACCUAAACCUGCACAGAGGGCAGUAGGGCAAGAAGAGCCCACAUACCCACCUUUGAAAGAAACACAUUUUUAAAAUUGAGUGUGUACAUAAACAAGCCUUAUAAUCAUAAUGUGGGAAUGUUCAACCCACUGUGGUUGGUACCCCACCCCACCCUGUAAAGAAAAGUGCAUGCUCAAUAGUAUUUUUAUUUUCUUGUUUAUAAACUUUAUUAUUAAAAAGCUUGUAAAUAAAUAAAAACACCACAAAACAUUAAUUAUCUUAAAGGAACCUAAUGCAGUCUAGCUGCUGCCUGGCACUGCCAAGGUUUAACAGUGUCUGUGAACAGAGACAGGAGAGGUUAAAAUUUCUCUAAGGUUUCCUCUGCCUGUUGGUGCUGAAUACUCUUCAUCUCAUCUUGAAAAGGCUAACAUUUACAAAGCUAUACUAGGAAACAGUUGGCAAGCUGUCCAGCUAAAUUAUAAAACACCAUUGUUUACUGAAGAAAAAUGACCUAAUAGUUACACAUAUCCGAGUCUAUAUGGUUAAGCUGCAAUGGAAACAUUCUUUCAGAGAUUGCAGAACCCAGAGACCACCCUGAGGUGUCUGAGGUAUAGGCAGAGCCUUUGGACAUUUAUGUGCGUUUCAUUUAACGAUUUGCUGUUUCAUUUUGUAAUCUUUAUGUUCUAGAACACAACAUUAAUCACGUAAAAACAGAAUAAAAUGCAUCGGGAAAGGCAGCCUCUUUCCUGCGUCUUUGUCCAGCUUAGCUCUGCAACAUGAAGUCAUUUUUCUUGUGGUUCUAGAGCGGCUCUUGCAUAGGACAGCAGGACAGAGCAUCCCUCACUUGGAAACUGAUGUCAUACUCUGUGGCUGUUCCUAGGGAGCAGCCACAUUUACCAUUUGCUGUGUCAGCCUGGGGCCUCCUUAAAUGGUAAAUUCCCUUAGCAGCAGGCAGCAAUGCUAAGUGGUUGGCUUCUGCUUUGGCAGCCUGGAGAGCCUGGAAAAAAAGCUGAGUGAAACUGACCCGGCAGAAAUAUUCUUCCAAAGAGUAUCCUUUCAAAUUUUUCUCCAUGUUUUAAAAUUGAAUUUAAUAAUUUUAGUUGCUUUUUAACCUAUGACUUGUUAUCACAUGAUGCGAUGUCUUCAUCCCUCCGCUUCCCUUCUGUUUUGAAAUGAGUUCUGGAAAUCUGUGGAAGCCUAAUCUGUCAGUACUCACUAAUCCCCAGGAUCAACUCACAAAGAAGAGACCUUGAGUGAUCUUCAGAGAGAUUAGGCAAUGUGAGGAGGCAGACCCCAGAUACUUACCAUACACAGUGGUGCGGAUAGCAGAGGCAGAGAUGAGGGCCUAUCAUCGUUUCUUGGGGAGCUGCACCAGCCUGGAAUAUAGGGCAAAUAAAGCACUUCCAGUAAUCAGCACCCCCCUGCUCUCCAAAACUGGACACACUCCUGAAGUCUGCUGUGCUGAAGUCUGCAAACAAUCAAUAGAGUUCUGACAGCUGCCUGGCCCUUCCCUGCUAUCAAAAUGUCGUCUCCUCCUGGGCCUGGUGGACAUAAAGGGAACAGAUGUUCAGGGCUCUCUGCUGAGCUCUGGGGCCAGUGCUGUGGUUUCUGUGGAGUACUCAAAGCCAUAAGGAACUUUGUGAGACGGUGGAAGUGUUUCAUCUUUGGUGUGUGUCAUGCCAUGAUCAUGUUGAUAUUUAGCAAUUGUACACUUAAUAUUUGUACAGUCUGCUUGUAUUCAAUAAAAUUCUGUUAGUAU